CCUACGGGAGGCAGCAGUGGGGAAUUUUGGACAAUGGGGGCAACCCUGAUCCAGCAAUGCCGCGUGAGUGAAGAAGGCCUUCGGGUUGUAAAGCUCUUUUGUCAGGGAAGAAACGGUGAUCUCUAAUACAGAUUACUAAUGACGGUACCUGAAGAAUAAGCACCGGCUAACUACGUGCCAGCAGCCGCGGUAAUACGUAGGGUGCAAGCGUUAAUCGGAAUUACUGGGCGUAAAGCGUGCGCAGGCGGUUAUAUAAGUCAGAUGUGAAAUCCCCGGGCUCAACCCGGGAACUGCAUUUGAGACUGUAUGGCUAGAGUGUGUCAGAGGGGGGUAGAAUUCCACGUGUAGCAGUGAAAUGCGUAGAUAUGUGGAGGAAUACCGAUGGCGAAGGCAGCCCCCUGGGAUAACACUGACGCUCAUGCACGAAAGCGUGGGGAGCAAACAGGAUUAGAUACCCUGGUAGUCCACGCCCUAAACGAUGUCUACUAGUUGUCGGGUCUUAAUUGACUUGGUAACGCAGCUAACGCGUGAAGUAGACCGCCUGGGGAGACGUCGCGAGAGUAAACGUUAAAGUAAGUAGACGNGUGAGAGNGCGAGACGACGACGAGGGAGGAGG
rnacentral:rRNA from 1 species